rnacentral:lncRNA from 1 species
ACGAGGCAGCCUCCACACAUAAUGAAAGCAAACGCCACCAUAAAUCUCCCGCUCGGCGGAGGUCACUUCAGAAAAAUCGCCCGCUGCUCAGAUAAGCACCAGCUUUGCUGAGGAACAUGGAAGGGGGAAAACACCGACUGUGAUAAACACCAGCAGCUCCCUGCCUUCCACCUCCCUGCUGCAAAAUGGAUCAAUCUAUAAUAAGUAGUAGUUAUAUAUCAUAAGGCAGCAAUUCCUUUUAGUUGUUCCACUAUAAAAAAGCAUCCAGAUUUAGAACUUGACAGGAACCAGUAUCGCCUGCCCCCCAGAGCCGGCAGAAAGUCUGUGUAUGUCAUUCAGCCAGCAUGGAGUCUGGGUGUUUUAAAAGCUUUAAUUUGAAGGGGAUAAAAAACCUGGGCGUUAAGCAAUUUGGCUGUGGAUAUUUAAUGCAUCAGCCACGCUAUAGAAUUGGAGUCCUCUAUUUAAAAUGAGAAAUUGAAAACUUACACGCUCUGUAGGCAAGGUGUAAGUAAAUGUAGGAUGGUAAGCAGAAAUCAGCUGAGAACCUGCAGAAACGCCAUUAGAAGGACUAAUGGCAUGGUUCAGAAGUGGCCUUAAACAAAUGCUAGGGUGUCGUUUGUAAGUGUGUAAAACAGGUCUGGCUUUUAAUUAGCAGGAGCCAUAUCUCCCUGUGUUUAGGAAAAGGCAUUACUUCUCAAAGAGAAUAUCCUAACGGGGUCUACAUAGGGACCAGGAGGAAACAAUGGCCCGGGAGUUGAGAUUUGCCUCAAGGCACGUUCCUCCUCAAUGGCAGCGUGGAGAUUGGAACUCAGUCUCCUUAUCUCUAAUUUCCACUCUAACACACUUAUUGUAGGUAGAAAAAAUGCAUCCCAAAGAUGUCUACUUCUUACUCCCCAGAACCUGUACAUACAGCACCUUACAUGGCAAAAGUGACUUUGCAGAUACGAUUGAGUUAAGGGUUUUGAGAUAGGGAGAUUACCAGGUGGCCCAACGGAAUCACAAGGGGCCUGAUAAGUAUGAGAGGGAGCAGAAGAGUGAGGGUCAGAGUCAGAGAGAGACUGGAAGAUGCUAUACCACUGGCUUUGAAGAUGAAGGAGGGGGACACAAGCCAAGGAAUGCAGGCAGCCUCUAAAUGCAGGAAAAGGUAAGGAAAUCGGUCUUACAGCCUCCAUAAAAAUGCCAUCCUGCCAAUGCCUUGAUUUCAGCCUCAUGAGACCCUUUCAGACUUCUGAUCUCUAGAACUGUAAGAGAAUACAUUGCGUUGUUUUAAGCCACUAAGUUUGUGAUGAUUUAUUACAGUACCAAGAGGAAAUCACUACAGUGUUCUAGCUGGGGAUCACAUUUCCCCACCUCAUUUUGAUCUACUCAAAGUAGUCCAUUACCUCAGUGCUGGUUAGAGUCUUUAUAAAAGCAAAAACAACAGAAUUCAGAUGCUUCUGCAGUUCUCUCUGGUAUGGAGAGCAGGUGUAAUCCCGAGACCCAUAACCUAGAGUUGGACCAGCGUGUACCAAGGUGGGGCUUGGCAGGAGUGGUCCACCCUUUUGGGAAGGAGUGUUUUAUCACUGACAUUGUUAAGGGUCACCACAGCAGAUUUUUAGUGGGUUUUGUUGUUUUUAAAUUCUCAUAGGCAGUGCACCUCUUAUUGCCUGUUCCAGCAUGAUCUGCUCCCACUGCCCACACCCACCAUUAACCUCCACCGUUGGUCUUUAGUGUCUUCUACUUUCCUUUUUGGAUUUUGUUUUUGUUUGUUUUAUUUUUUAAAUUUUUUAACUUUCCUUUAUGACACUCUUUCUUGUGGCACCUUGUUGGCUCUCUGCUCUGUGUCUCUUUCCCAUAUGAAUGAUUCCUAAAGGAAAGAUUUUUUCUAAUUAUCAGCUCUGUGUUAAGAAAUUAGUUGGAAAGAACUUAAAGUAUGAGGGUUCAUCAACUAUUUCUGGUGUAUUAGAAUACUCUAUUUCAUUUGGGUGUGUUUCAUUAAUGACUUCUACCCUCUUAUCCCUGCUGCUUCUGUAAAGCCUUCAAGACCCCUCAAAGUUAAUCUCUACAGGUGAAAUUUCAGGCUCCUGGUUUGGGUGGGCCUUUUCCAGAGUGUCUCAUGUACACUUUGUAGAUACAGCUUUGGAGUCAGACAGACCGGGGUUUGACUCCCUGACCCACCAUUUACUAGUGAUGUCACCUUGAAAAAAAUUAUUUAUUGUCUCACUUUGUUUAUCUGUAAAAUGGAGAACAUAACAAUGAUCUUGCUCCAUAGUGAGAAAUUAAUGCGAUUUUGUAUUUCAAGUGUUUAGCAGAGUGUGACCCACACAAGCCACAGAAAUCGUGGUGGUGGAGAAGUCACAAAGUGCUUGGUGCCCAUACUUCUCAGAUUCUGAAACUUCUGGUCACGUAGGAUUUGAAAGCCCAUUUACAUCCUAUGGGGCCAGAAGUUUCAGAAUCUGAGUGUUGAAAAGAAAUAUCCACCAAAUGUGUAACAGCAGCAAGCAUUUACACAUAGCUAGCUGUGAACCUUCUUCUUGGAUAGCGGGCUCCAACAAGAAUAAGCAAUGGUAAGAGAUGAUCUACAGCCCUGUCCAAAAGAAGCUCAUGGUUUAGGAGGGAGAAGAUAUAAAGACAUAAUUACUGAAUUACUGGCAUUUAUCACUCUAUAUGAAGUGUCAUUACAACUGAGGAUGAUGAGAAGACCCAGGAGACAAAAUCUUCCAAGGGAAUCAGGAACAAGGGCACAGAGGUAAUGAAUUUUGAGUUGGGUCCUGGAGCGUGAGUAGGAGUUUGCAAAGCAGAAAAUAGGAGAAAAAUUAUACCAGGCAGAGAAAAGUGUAUAAGAAAAACAAAGUAAAAGAAUAUCAACAGAGAACAUCUCCUGAGCAUAACAAUAAUAUUGAAGCCAUGGGUACAAAUUAAAUCCAGUUCAAUGAGUUAAAGCCAUAGCAACUUGCACUGAAUCAUCAACAACUUAACUUUCUCUGGAUCUGCUGCAAAGUGAUUUCAGGGUCACACCGAACAUUCUUCCUUGACUAAAAACGAUGCCUUGAGAAUUCACUGAUGGCCACAGUGCAAUCAAUACUAAUCAGGUAAUACGCCCUGGCCCUGAGAUAACAGAGCAUCUAGAAUCCCAAUGUAUGAAUUCAUACCUAAUCUAUAUACUGCCUUAUAUGAGUGGAGGAUUUGUUCACAUUCCAAAGCAUUUUAGUAAGAUGCUAAGAAAAAUCAAUAACUUAUUAAAUACCAGUUACCUCAUUAAAACAAACAAUUAAUCAUCUUUGUUGCUAUUAUAUUGGGACCACAGAUCUGACUUUAUAUAUUUUUCAUUGGUGUGUAUGCUCACAGGUUUACUCCAUUCAUUAGAGGAGAUGACAGAACUCUUGACAGCAAUGCUAUCAAGAAGGAAGUUUCAGUUUAAGAACCCCUCUGGGCUUGCAGAAUGACACACACUGCAGCCAAGAUGGUGCUACUAUAAGAAAUGGACUCCCCAGCACGUUAUUGAAGAAAAAAAAAACCUGCAGCAAUCAAAAAAAAAAGGGGGGACGGGGGCAAAUCUAUAACUUCAGCUGGAAGUGAUGAAAAUUAACUGUUAGAAGUAGAAGAGACCUUAUGCUACUAAAAUAAUAAUCAUCACUUCAAAUAUUUCCUGCUCUUGAAAUAUUUUGUCAGUGCCCUGUGAUAUCGGGAAAUAAAGUUACGUUCAUUUCCAGUUUUAAGAUGGAAAUGGGAGUUCACAUUAGCGUACAUACAUAUUUUGUGAAAUGGAAAAAUGAGACCCACUGUCAGCCACAAUAAUAAGUACAUUCCUCAAAAAAUGAAGACUUCUGGUUUGAUUUCAUUGACCUGUUAGGAAUGGUUAACUUUUUAAUUUUUUUUUUUUUUGAAUACAAAUUUUGAGUUAUCUCUCCCAAGGCCAUCAUGUCAUCAAUUUCUUAGGAAUAUAGAGAAAAGGUUGAACUAUAUGCCUAUGAAUCUGUGAAUAAAUUACUCUUCUUAUCUAUGGAAAUGUCCCCUACACUUAAAAAGUAUGGUCAGCAUUAUGUAAGCUAAACCGACAAGUGCUGAGUUAAACAAAAUUAUCUCAGUAAAUUAUAUAUGAUAGGGUUUUUUUUCCCUAGGAAUCUUUGAAUAGCAUUUCUUAAGAAAUUGUGAUUAUUAGGUCCAAAUAAUUUAAAGUUGCCAUUUCAUUUAGAGUUGGCUGAUUUUUGUGUGAAUGUUUUUGCAAAGAGCAUCAUAUGUGAGUCUUCCCUGCAGCCUGCAUAGUGCAGUGGAAAGAAAACAGACACUGCAUUUCUUAGUCUGGAUUUGAAUCCUAACCACCCUCAGACUGUCUUUAGUCAGUAACUUUACUUUUCUAAGUCAGUAUUUUCAGAUAUUAAAUAGGGGUAAAUAACAUUUCCCCUAUGUAUCUCACUGGAGUAUCAUUAUGAUGAGCUAAAGUCAUGUGUAUAAAAGAAUAUUAUAAAAUCUGGGACCCUAACUGGUUAGUCAUCCUGUGUUGUUGCACUAAAAGAAACACAACAAAAAGAAACCCAGCAACUGAAAGUUAAAGUUAUUCUGAAAUUUAUUUGUAGCUUUAAAGAGUAUUAAAAGAGAUCUAAUUUAUAAUUCAUAGCACUUUUUUUUCUUUUUCUUUUUUUCUUUUUUUUUGAGACUGAGUUUCACUCUUGUCACCCAGGCUGGAGUGCAAUGGCGUGAUCUCUGCUCACUGCAACUCCCACCUCCUGGGUUCAAGCGAUUCUCCAGCCUCAGCCUCCCAAGUAGCUGGGAUUAUAGGUGCCCACCACCAUGCCCAGCUAAUUUUUGUAUUUUUACUAAAGACGGGAUUUCACCAUGUUGGCCAGGCUGGUCUUGAACUCCUGACCUCAGGUGAUCUGCCUGCCUCAGCCUCCCAAAGUGCUGGGAUUACAGGCAUGAGCCAUAUGCUUGGCCAAUUCACAGCACAUUUCUGAUAGUCCCCCCCUUACUGUACCUCUCAAGUUCUCUCACACUCUCACAUUCUCACAUGUGGUUGUUUUGGAGCCUCUUUAUCAACUCCUCCCUCUCAACUCUCCACCCAACCCCUCUCCAACACUCAGGACUUAAAGCUUGUCUAUAUCUGUCUUCUCCCCCAUCCCCUGUGUACCACCUCUUCUCCUCAAGCUCUUUAUUGCAUAUAUCAUUUUGGCUUUCUGCCUUCCUUCCAUACAGCUAUGCCCCAGAUUCUCCACCAGAAAAGCCUAGGGGGAAUCCAGCAGGCAAAAAUCUUCCAUGCAACACUCCUAUCCCCAAGCAAGUGGUGUAGAAUGAAGAGACGGAGAAUAUUCAUACAUUCAUAUUUUUCACUUUGGGAGGCUGAGCAGGCAGAUCACCUGAGGUCAAGGGUUUGAGACCGGCCUGGCCAACAUGGUGAAACCCCAUCUCUACCCAAAAUACAAAAAUUUGCCAGGCGUGGUAGCACAUGCCUGUAAUCCCAGCUACUCGGGAGGCUGAAGCAUGAGAAUCGAUUAAGCCCAGGAGGCAGAGGUUGCAGUGAGCUGAGAUCGUCCCACUGCACUCCAGCCUGGGCAACAGAGUGAGACCUGUCUGAAAAAAAAAACAAAACACACACAGACGCACAUAAUUUUAACACUUUUUGCACAUUAAUACUUUCACUCUAGCUGUUGUUCUCUAUGCAUAUUAAUAAUUAUAUUGUCUUUUAUCUUUUAGUUUAGGUAAUAAGGUCUUUAUUUUCAAAAUAAGUAAAACAAAUCACAAACGAUUGACCCAGCAAUUGAUUCAGGAUCCCAGAAUCAGUCAAGAAUGUAGGUAGAAAGUGAGUUUUAAUUUUUUUCUACUCUACAGAACAGUGGUUCCCAGAGUAUGUUCUAAGAUAUCCCUAGAGAUGCCUCUGAAAAAGAAAUCCAAGGCCAAAUACAACAGAAAAAUGCUGUAUUCUGUCUUCCUUCAGGGGGCGGGGGUCCACAAUGCAUACUGGCAACUGAGGGAAGUCCUGAGUUUGUAAAGAAAUCUACGCACAAAAACAGAGAUUAGAGACUUAGUGGGAAAAGCAAGAUUAUAAAACAUUUAGGACAAUAUUUUUAAUCUCUUGUAGGGAAACUUUCUUAAAUUGGACCCCAAAAGCACAACCAUAACAUAAAAGAUUGAUACAUUCAUCUCUAUUAAAAUGUAAAACUUCUCUUCAUGAGAGAACAUCAUUAAGAAAGUGAAAACAUGAAUCACAAAUUGACAGAAAAAAUUUUUCAAAUACGUAACUUAAGAAUUACAAUGAAGAAAGCAUAAAGAACCCCUAAAAGUCAAUAAGGAAAAGACAACCCAGUUAGAAAUUGGGCAAGAAUGUGGAUAAUAGCAUUUACAGAAGAGGAAACUCAAACAACCAAUAAAUAUAUGAAAAGAUGCUGAAAUUCACUAGUAAUAAAGGAGGUGAGAACCAAAAUCACAAUGAGAUGGGCAAAAAAUUCAAGUCUGACACUGCCAAGUGUCGACGCAGAUACGGAGCAAUGACAUUUAAAGCCUGUUAGACUGAAUGAAAAUUAGAACCAUCCCUUUGGAUCACAAUUUGGUUUAUCCUAUAAAGGUGAAGAUGUACCUACCCUCACACCCACUGAUACAUACCCUAGAGAAAUUCUUGUACAUGUGCUCUAAAAAACGUUUACCAGAAAGUUCCUAGUACCAUUGUUUGUGAUGGCAAAACACCAAAGCCAAAAUAAUAUUAAUCAGACACUAAAUGGCAAAUGAAUUGUUCAUAAACAAAAUGAAUAAUGGCAAUGAAAAUGAACUACAGCUAUGUUUAUCAACAGAGAUGAAGUCCAGAAACACAGAAUGGAAUAAAGGACAAGUCUUAGAAGAAUAUCCACUGCAUGCUUUUUUAUAAAGCUAAUUCAAAAGCUUUUUAAAAAAAUUUUUUUUUUGAGACAGGGUUUGAUCUGUCACCCAGGCUAGAGCACAGUGGCACCAUCUGGGCUCACUGCAGCCUUGAUCUCCUGGGCUCAAGUGAUCCUCCUUCCUCAGCCUCCUGAGUAGCCUGGGACUACAGGCAUGUGCCACCAUGCCUGGCUAAUAUUUUUUCAAAAAUUUUUUAUAGAGAUAUGGUCUCACUAAGUUGCUCAGGCUGGUCUUGAACUCCUGGCCUCAAGCAAUCCUCCCACCUUGCUGAGAUUACAUGUAUAAGGCACCAUGCCCAGCCCAAAAGCAUAUACAAAUUUAAAAUAUAUUAUUUAACGAUAUAUAUUUAUAUACCUAUAGUAGAACCAUUAUGAAAAACAAAACUCAAACACAAAAUUCAGAAUACUGAUUACUCUGGGGAAAAGAGGAGGCUACAAUCAGAAAGGGGCAACCAGGGGAUUCUCUGGGAUUGGUAGUGUAUUUGUUAAGCUGGGUUUUUAUUGUUCUUUAUUGUGUGUGUGUGUGCGUGCGUGUGUGUGUGUGUGUAAAUUUUUUGUAUGCAUUAAUAUUACAUGCAUUCAUUUUAAUUUUUAAUUUAACUUAUUUAGCUCAGUAUCUCACAGACAUUGCCCAUGUAAUCCUUUUAUCUCCUUACACAUACUAACACCCAGUCGAGGUCUGUUUCGGAAACACUGCUCUAGGCCUUAAAACCUCUCUUUUGGCAAACAGACUCGCCCCAGCCAAAACUUGGGGCUAUUAUUCCAGCAGGGCCAGGAUGCCAGAGCAGAUGCCUAGCUUUUCCUGGGGCCACGCUUCUCCAGGCCAUGCUUGUGCACGUCUUCAUAAGCACACAUGAACUGUAUAUACCAGCCUUACCUCAGGUUUUAAAAGUCCUUGUUGUGGAAGUAGCAGGAGGUCUGCUGAUGUGUACAAAACUAACUGAUAUUCAACUCCCCCAUGUCCUUGGAGUCCACUUUCCCUCCCCAGCCUGUCCAGGCACACAUGGCAGGAGAGAUGACACUCCAAGCAGAGGUGCACGUUCUUGUAAGAAUGAAAAUUAUUCUGGAGAGCUCAGUGUUUUCUGGGUUUUACCAUGGAAGUAUCUAGUCAGGCGCAGCAUUUUCUGAGGCAAUUCCUCUGUGCGGCUAAUGCCUAAUAAUCUUCCAAUAUAAAUAGCUCCUGCUGGGCUUUUGAUUUUCACACCUUGGUGGACUCGUUGAGAGAUACUUUACAGCCGGUUGCAAUGCUGAGAAGCCAACAUGUUUUUCCCCAUGCCUUUGCUGAUAAAGGACUUUUGAAUCGCUGUGAUUGUAGCAAUAUUAAACUCCCAUGCAUGGCUGUUGGACUUUAGUCUCUCAUUAGUAUCAGGUUUAAUGAGGUCAGGCUAAGAGAAGAUUGUAUGUUCUUAAACUGAGUUGACAUUGAUUGUCACUACCAUGGAGUGGCCUACUAUACUUUAAACCCCUGGUUCAGAGGGAAUAUUUCAUUUUUGCUAACAUUGUCUUCCAUUGUGAAGACUGAUUUCAGCAUAAUGAUCCAUCACCUGAGGAGAUUCACUCUGCUGCUUCGAAACUCAUAUCUUGUAACCAGACAUUUUAUAUUCUCUGAGUCUCCCGUUCCCAGCUCCCCGGCUUACUGCACCUGCUUUUUCAUAGCUCACGGCCCUCUCUCCUUACAGGGGAUGCCACAGAGAUGUUCACCUCUCACUUCUUUUUCUCCAUUUUCUUUUUCAAGAAACCUUGUCACUUACACACAGUUUCCAGCUCAAGAGCAAGCCAUCUAUCAUCACAUGAGGUGAAAGUGGCACGGAGCAAUGUGUGCUGAAGCAGAACCAACAUGGAAAUGGUGAAUUUGUUUUCACAAAGUGUCAAAUGGACCGAAGCGUCCUUAACACACUGGCUUUACCCCGGAAUGGCAUUUGGAGGGCAGGGAGGUGAUAUUUUCCUCAACCCAAGGCUAGGAGGUCAGAUGAGCAGCAAGAAGAUACUGGAAAUCCAUCCCAACUGUCUCCCUGGGUCUCACGUCACCCUUUCUCUUUGCACAUCUGCUCAGUCUCCUCUCUUCCUCUGCUCACCAGCCUUCUCUGGUCCCAGCCCAUAGAGCAGAGCUCAUGACUGCCCCAGGUCUCCUGAGGACUCAUAGUCCAACCAUACUUCUCUCCAGUCCCAAAUGCAAAUUACCAGAGUUGCAAUUUCAGUUGACCCCAUCUGGGUCAGCUGCCAAUCCACUGGAGCCAGAGGUCAGGGGCACAUGCACCUAGAUGUUCCUGGGGGCCAUUUCCUCUGACUCCAGGCACCCAAUUAAGAGUGUUAUUACAAGCUGGACAGACAUACCAAAGUGCAUCCAAUAUAUGCACCUGUCCUUAAGAGCAUAAUAAUACUUCAAAAAAUCAUCAUGAUGCAUUCUAUAAUUUAUUUCACAAAUAAUCAAUGAACCCCUAAUUUGUCAGGCACUGUGCUAGGCUCUGAGGAUUCAGGCAGAUGAUGUCCAGCCCUCUAGUGGGAGAGAUAAACAAAAGAACAACCAACUUACAAACAAAAUAAUAACAGAUUGCAAUAACUGCCACAUAAAAAAUGGAAGGGGUUAUGUGACAGAGUAUUUGAGGGAUGCACGUGGAGGCAUGCUUGUCUGAGGCCCUCUUGAAGAGCUAAUGUUAAAUACCUAAGGAAGAAGGUGAUUUCAGUAGAGGGGAUGGUGGGGGCCCUGAGGUGGAAAAGAACCUAGGGGAUACAAUAUGAGUUUAGAGACACAGACAGGAUCCAGUUCAUUUGGGGCCUGUGAGCCAUGCUAGGAGGUGGGGCUUUUAUUCUAAGGGCACAAGGAAGAUGUUGACAAAGGUCAAGCAGAGGAGAGCUUGAUCUGAUUUAUGUUUUUAGAAGAUGACUUUGGGGUGGGAUUGUGUGGAAGCAGGGAGGCUGGUUAGGAAGCUGUUGUGGUAGUUCAGGAGAGAGAGCAGAUGAACCUUUGGGAGGGUGACAGUCAUUAGGAUGGACAGAUGUUACAGUCCAAAUGUUUGUGGCCCCCAAAAUUCAUACAUUGAAAUCCAAUCCCCAAUAUGAUCAUAUUAAGAGGUAAGGCCUUUAGGAGGUGAUUAGGUCAUGAGUGGGGAGCUCUCAUAAAUGGUAUUAGUGCUCUUAUAAAAGAGCCUGAGGGGCUCGUUUGCCUGUUCCACCAGGUGAGGAAGCAGCAAGAAGGUGCCAUCCAUGAAUCAGAAAGUGGGCCCUAACCAAAUCUACUGGCACCUUGAUGCAGGACUUCCAGCCUCUAGAACCAUGAGAAAUAAAUGUUUAUUGUUUAUAAGCUGCUCAAACUGUAGUCUUUUGUUUUAGCUGCACAAACAAACUUAAGACAAUAGAAGAACCAGAUUCUAGAUGUAUUUUGUAGUAGGACAGCCCAGAACUUGCUGAUGCAUAGGAUUUGAGGUGGAAAAAAAAGAAUUUCAGAUGACUCCUAGCUUAGGUUUCAGUGGCUGCAUGGAUGGUGAGCCAUUUUCUGGAAUAGGGCAGAUUGGAAUGACUGACCAGAUCUUUAUCACAGAAGACGUCAAAGCAAGAACUCUGCAGCCCCAGACAUCGAGGUUCUUGGAACCUGAUCUGCUGAGAAACUCUUGGUUCUCUCUGUAGUCCAAGGGCUCUAAUUCUCAUAGACCAUCACCGUAAUUCCACUUCAGUCACCCCAACCACACCUCCUCCCUCAAAACCUACCUAUCUAUCCCUAGGAUGCUUAGAGGAAGAAAGGCUUGGGGUUGACGCAGUGAAUUAACCCAAAUAUCAAUUCUCUCCUUUCUAACUCUGUACAUUGUUAGGACAACUUUGCUCCAAGUGCCCUAUCAGCCUCCACCUCUACAAUAAGGGCAGGGAGAACAUAUUUACUUCACAGAGCUUUCAUUUUUAAAACUGAAACAAAGCUAUACAUGUAAAGUACUUAUUCCAGUGCCUACAUUAUGGUGAGUAUUUGAUACACAUUGGAUGUCAUUAUUCUUAGCAUUUCUU